ACGGUGAGAUCAUGACCUGAGCCAAAGUCAGACACUCCAUCAACUGAGCCACCCAGGUGCCCCUCCAUAUUACUAUUCUAUUCAACUUUACUUAACAGCAGUUCGUGAUGCUCCUGAGCAAAAGUGCAUAUUACAGAUGACACAUAACUGAGAUGUGGAGCAGAGUCCUGGAAACACUGUAGGGACUGAAGUAGAGGGCUGCUGUUCCUGUCCCUCCUACUCUACUUACUGUCUGUUUGACCCUGGAACUUACUGCCAAGAAAAUCAAGACUUGAGCACUAGCCAAACAAAGAAUUACAAAGGAGGCUACAGGUUAAACAGCCACCUAAGAUCACUGGCGAUGGAUGCCGGCUAACAAGUGGGGAAGCAACAUCUAUGAGAUGCUUUGUCGACUCCUAAAACUGUUCUCACACUGCAGACGCAGCCACCAAUUAAACACACGAGUAGUGUGUGUGUGCAUAUUGUUGUUAUCAUUGUCUUUUGGAGGUAGUGUUUUACACCCAGUAAGUUACCUCUGGGAAAAAUACUGCUUACAUCAUAGUAAAUGUGGAGUGGAAUAUGUUUACUCAGGACUUUUUUUGAGAUUUUCAUUUCGUAUGUUUAAUUAAGACAGAAUUUAAAGACUAGGGAUGUUGUUAAAAUAUUGUUUCAGGUUGAUGCAAGAAUACUCUAGUGCUAUUACGAUAACUCCAACUGCUGAUUGGUUUUAUUUAAUCAUAAAGAUCUUAUAUCUCAAAAGAAA